AGAAAAUCGCUCUUUGGAACCGGCGACAUGCUUUCAGAACAAUUACAUCGGGUUUGGCCUUCAACUUCAUGAUGGCAGCAGUCUACUUGGACAGAAUGUGAUCAAAUUUUGUGACGUAUGAAUCUACAAUCGUGCCAUAUACAUGUAUUCCAAACUCUAUGUGUGAAGAUGUAUUUACAUUUGGAACAAUAAAUAUAUCAAACAUGUUUUGUGUCGUGUAUUUGUAAUCCAGUUCGCAAAUUGAAUUGAAUUUCCAUAUCAUUUUAAGAAUAAUUUACAAUAGAAACAGGGUAAAAUGUUUUUUAUGUUCCAUCAUGUAAAAUUAUUAUUUUUUAAUAAAAUUAAUUUCUUUGAACUUGU
rnacentral:misc_RNA from 1 species